rnacentral:tRNA from 1 species
GUAGCUCAGUCGGUAGAGCAGAGGAUUGAAAAUCCUUGUGUCGGUGGUUCGAUUCCGCCCCGGGCCACCA